CCGCGGUUGCGGCAGCGGUGUAGGCGAGCGAGGCAGAGGAGCGGUCAACACCGGCGUCGAGGGCAAGGUAGGCCGGGCGCAGUGUCCUCCGGCGUGUGGUGGCGCAUUGGACGGCGCAGGAGGCUGGGCGCGUCGAUUCGGGUGAGGGAAGUGGGGUCCAGAUCUGGUCGAGGACGGGGCAACCGGCGGCGGCGGCGUGGCUGACGCUGGACGGAGAGAGAGGCAGAGCAAACGAAUCGCUGGAUGGCGCACCUCCCCUAGCCUCCUUCCUCUCCCGGUCGUAGGGGAAGCAGGACGGCCACCUCUGCUGGACGCCCUUCCCUGGUCGACGACGAGCGUUGCGGGCUGACACGGUGGCGCCCUUCCGUUGUGGAGUACCGUACUAGGACGACGGCGGUUAAGGUCAACGCCCUGCUCGACGCCCCCAUCUGCUGCUCGAUGCGCCCAUCCCCUCGCUGGUUGAGCUCAACGCCACCUUGCUCUGCCUCCGGCAGUCAUCUCAUCCAAUCUGGCUGGUCCGCUCCCCACCUCGGCGGCUCCUUCAGUCCGGCAGCACACCACGCUCAAGCCUCCACCACCCUCAAGUUACAGUAGACAAGGAGCUCCGCUCUACCUCUCAUCUCUCUCCUUGUCCUGGUGGUCACAGGCUGAUGUUGCUGCUCCUCUCCUUCAGGAUCUAUCUCUUUCUCUUUGUCUCUCACACUCUCAUGGAUUGACAACUGCAUUCUUCCCAAAUUAAUGCUUUUCUUUGGUGUAUCAGGCAUUCAGGCUGGUGUAAUUUGUUUUCAAAAGUGAACAUGUUGUACAGUCCAAUGUAUCUACAAAAAUUAAGUUAUGAUUCCUGAAACACUGUCCAGAAUUCCACUGCUACAGAAUUGAAAUUCGAUUAGCACAUGGUAAACCAGCUUUGAUUCAGCAGGGUUAUCAGCUUAGAUUCGACUAUUUUUAGUUCCUACAAGAGCAAAUGAUACGCUUAUGUCAGUAGUUUUUAGAUAUAUUCACUGGCUUCAGAUUCUACUGAUGGAUUUUUAUGCUCUGUUCUGCUUCUAGAGCUUGUGAAUGAUGUUCAUUGUUGUUUGAAAGAUGCACUUUUUUAUGCCUAUAUGUAAACGAUGCAAUUACUGGCUGAGAGAUACACUUAUUGGUGCUGUUCUGAAAUGAUGUUCAUUACUGUUCUACAGAUGCAGUAGACUGAUGUUUAUUGUUGUUUUGUUAUUGUACAGAACGAGGACGGAUCCAAGGUUGAGUACUAGGUGUGGAACCCCUUCAGAUCCAAGUUGGCUGCUGUUGUACUCUGUUGUGGACAAAUCUGGAUUGUAUGUCUUUUUUGAUGAUUCCUUCCGGCGCCCUGUCAUACUCAUUGCUCUUCAGUUAACGAAAUGAAUGCACAGCAGCAACACAGGCAGUAGCAGAAUGGGGUAUAAUGAAUGUUUUGUUUGAGUCUGACUGUCAAACGUUGGUUCGUGUUUCUAGAUUUUCUAGCUAAGGGCUGGUUUUGUUUAGCUAGAACACAAAUCACGAUCAGAUGUACCUAUUAUGACGAUUUCGGAUCCGUGCUAACUAUUUCUAAUUUUGAAAUUAUUUCUCAGAA